rnacentral:rRNA from 1 species
GACGAACGCUGGCGGCGUGCUUAACACAUGCAAGUCGAACGGAAAGGCACUGCUUUUGUGGGGUGCUCGAGUGGCGAACGGGUGAGUAACACGUGAGUAACCUGCCCUUGACUUUGGGAUAACUUCAGGAAACUGGGGCUAAUACCGGAUAGGAGCUCCUGCUGCAUGGUGGGGGUUGGAAAGUUUCGGCGGUUGGGGAUGGACUCGCGGCUUAUCAGCUUGUUGGUGGGGUAGUGGCUUACCAAGGCUUUGACGGGUAGCCGGCCUGAGAGGGUGACCGGCCACAUUGGGACUGAGAUACGGCCCAGACUCCUACGGGAGGCAGCAGUGGGGAGUAGUGCACAAUGGGCGGAAGCCUGAUGCAGCGACGCCGCGUGCGGGAUGACGGCCUUCGGGUUGUAAACCGCUGUCGCCUGUGACGAAGCGUGAGUGACGGUAAUGGGUAAAGAAGCACCGGCUAACUACGUG